rnacentral:lncRNA from 1 species
CGUCGAUCCGGCGGCGGCCCGCGGGCAGUGGAGAGGCGCGGCCUAGAAGGGCCGAGCGCCGGGAGAGCAGCUCCCGCGGUCGGCGCCUCGGUCCCGCGUGCCCUCUGUCGGCUCCUUGACCCCAGAAGUCCUCCCGCCUCUGGCGACUGCGUUGGUCAGCUUUGAACUCCUCGGUGAGGUCCGAUGUUGUAGAAACACCUGGUUGUGGGCAAGGAGGAAGGCGGCCGGGGCUUUGGGGCCACAGUGCUUACGGCUUAAAACACCCUCCCUCCAAGGAAAACUGCGGCCUGUGUGUGACUUCCUCCUGCGUGAAGACCCCUGAUACCCCUAAGCCAUCUCUUACCUUGCACCAGUGUGCCACCUGCAUCCUGGCAGCUGUGUGACCCCAAGUAAGGUGUGCCCCUCUUGGUGGAAUAGGGCUGUGGGGUGGCACCCAGUGACUCGUGUAAGCUGGGUAAACUAGUGCUAGCACACGUGCGAGCUCAACAAAUGUGACCUGCUGUGAUUAGCACUGUGGUGCUGGCACACACAGAGUGUCCCCACUUGGGGUUUGUCCCAACUGAUCUAAACUGACGAGCAAGUUUACAGCCAUCACUGCCAGGAGAAAUGCUUUACUGCCCAAAACUAAGAUGAAAUGCAAAUCAUUCUACAGACUUAACAAUUACAGCCAAGCCAAGCUUCUGUUUAAGAUCUUUUAAGCAUCAUUUCAAAUGUGGUUUUUCCUUAAAUUGCAUCAAUAUUUGUAAAGCCUAUUGUACAAGUGCAAACUCUUAAGUUGGGUGAGUGCAAAUGCAACGUUAUUUACAGUGGGACAAAGGCCAUCUGAGAAUUUGUUUCCAAGGACCUAAAGUUCUCCAGGGUUUGGUGUAUUAGUUUCACUUUAAAGGACUGGGUACAAAGUUGCCUUGUUGCUCCCAGAACAUGCUGUCUGCUUUUCAGCUGGAGCCGCCCAGUAAUCAGUGGGAGGAAGCGAUAAGGCUCCCAGGUGCUGUUGGGCACCACAGCACAUGAUAUCAGAACUGGGUUUGGCUGCUCCUGUCCUGCUUCCUGUACAUCUGCUGCCAGAAACUUGCUCUUCACUGCCUUCCCCCUAGUAUAAUUUUGUUGGAAUCUGCUUUUUCCAAACAUUCAGAGUGCCAAGAGGCACUUCGGAAAUGCAGGGUUGUAGCUGGCCAGGGCCUGAGAUGAUUCCCUUCAUUGUGGAACAAUUCUCAACAGAGACCAGGCCUUGGGGACUGACGUCCCCCCCCCCCACUCCCCGGAGAGGGACCCAGGGGGUCAUGAGGUAGAAUGAAAAGAUGAAUGGCCACAGGGCACCUGAAGGGGAAGUGAUGUAAAACUCUGGCAGCUUUUGGCCCGCCCAAUGAGACUUUAUUUUUAAUCGUUGUUUAUGCAAACUGUUUGGUGAAUCCUGGUUGUAUUCAGAAGACUCAGUGCCCACUGCCAGGGUCUCCAAAUUUUAAAACUCCCCGACAGCCCUCUCACCAUGUUGGUGUAGGAGGCAAAUAUGUGGCAUAGGUCUGGGCUCGGGGACACUGGGCCCAGCCUCAGAAAGAGUGCGUCAGUGAAGGGCGAGUUCAAGCUUCAGCAACAACAACCGGACGUUCCCUGAUAGCCCACGCUGUAGGACCUCUCAGCAAGCAUCCUUUCCAAGUUUCCUGAUGGGACAAAUCCCAGCAGAGCUCUAGCUCAACCUCUUCCAGCAGUGGAUGCUGCUGGGAGGUCGGGGGUCACCCAACACCAUGGAGAACAGCACGCUCGCACUGGAGCAGACUGGCUGCCCAUGGUGGCCAGAGCACCCCAAUAGUAAAUCUGUUCACGAGGAAGCAUCCAGCUAUCUUAGUGUGGGACAUGGGCUGGUGUCCUCUCACUCUCUUGUUUUUUUAAAGGCUAGUCGAGACUCACCGUGUUGACUUAAGAAACCAGAGCUGGACUUCCUACCAGCCACAGGAAGUAAUGAGAUUCCCAUCACAGGAAGCAUUCAAUUAACAGCUGGGCAAACAUUUGGUGUGAAUUUGAUGGACUCACUCAAGUAUCAUGUAGAAUGUUUGUCUUGGCCUAGGUGCCUACCCCCUCAGUCCAGGAAGCAGAGCCUUUCUGGGCUUUUACAGGAGGGUCUUUGAUCCCAGGAAGCGAGGGUCAGGGAAGGAAAGGGGCAAGGGCAGCGUGCUCUGUGGACAGCAUCCCCAACAUGGGCAGUUGGAGCUGGACCUCAGACCUUCCCAGAGCCCUGGAGAGUUGUCCACCUGAGCGCGAAGGAGAGAAGCCUUACCCUUGGGGCUGUCACCUGGCGUCACCCCUUGGCGAUUUACUCCCCUGCACUUCUGGGUGGUGACUGCAGGGUCUCACAGGUGUCCCCGAGCCCUGGGGCACACAGCACACUGCAGGCCAGGUGGGCCUGCCCAAAGCUGGGUGCAGUGGCCCCGGCUGGACUCAGAGUUAGGACCAAGAAGAUGGGAAGGGCUGAGCAGGAGGUGCGAGGGGCCGAUGCAUCAUCAGAGAGGCGAAGGGAACUUGAAGCAGACCCUAGGCGUCACCGUCAGUGGCCACGGUGUCCAAUGAGCACGUGUGCGUCCUCCUGAAGUGAUUUAAGCCAACUGCCCCUCGAACCCAGGGUGACUUACAGGUGGACAGGUGCCUGCAGGAGCUGAGGCCACAGCGCAGGGGUUUGGUGCCUGAGCACCUGAGGCGUGACUCAGACAGUAUCAGGUGAGAGGCCAGGAGCGGCCAGUUGGACAUCCUUCUAAACAUUAACAGGAAAGUGUCAUUUGCGGGAGAAGGGGCCUGGCUAAGUUCAGGUCUGACAGAACUCAGAGGAGGACUGGAGAAGCCAGAGGUUUGGAGGCGACCUCAGCACUUUGCGUGAGGCCUCAGGGAGGGCAGCCAGUGCUCCGAGGUCAGUGUCAGAGCUGGGGGCCGCUGCGCCUGGCCAGGAGGUUAGCAAGGAGCCCCCCUCAGGCCGCCUAGGAAGCAGUGUGCACUGUGGGGCUGGGUCUAGCAGUGGGGCCCCACCCCAGUAGCUCCCCUUGUAUGGGGCAGAGUGAGAGUUUGAGGAAUGCAGGGAGGGAAACGCAAGCUGUCCCUUCCCGUGAGGAGCCGUCCAUCCCAUCAGCCAUAGGCAGGCCUCCUGCCGCCCAGGACCGGCCCCACGCAGUGAUACUGGCCACUCACAGGUCACCAGGGCCUGAAGGGCAGGCAGGACCCUGACCCACUGACGGGGGAAUGGCAUCCAGCAGCCACCGAGAACUCAGUGGCCUCUAUCUGAAUUGGGGACAGUCAUCCCCUGGCCCCCAGGGCUGCAUCCCUGAACCCUGAGAUCUGAGGCUGGAUCUCAGAGCUUCCUUACCUGGCUUCUGUUGGGGGACAUGCCUGCUGGGAUCACUCGCACUCCUCCCCACAAGCUGGGCAUGCCGGGAAUGCACAGCCCUGGCCGCUGGUUACAGGGCCACUUUCAUGAGCAGCCUUGAGGCGUAGGACCAGGACGAAGAGCUGGCCUGCUUGCUGUCCGCCGUAAAGCUUGGAGGUCCUCUCCUUUCAUGUACCCCUAGCAGCACAGCGUCUGUCUGGACACAUUCCCAUCGCCCCUGGGGAGCUGGCUCGGGGAGCCCAUGCCCGCAGGCUGGCCCUCUGGCACUGCUUUUGCUGUGAGUAGCAAACUCCUUGAUCUCCGACCCAGAAGCCUCAUGUCUCUUGUCAGCGCGUGAGCAUGUGGCAGGCCGUGUUGCUGCUUGAAGCAGAGCGAAAGCUUCGAGCCAGCAGUUCUGGACAGCAUCCUGUGGACGUGCGCAGCUGGGGCCUGCCUCACAGCAGCCCGGCUGUGAGUACCACUGACCAGCACCUCUCUGCGGGGACUGGCUCUUGGGCCCAUCUAGUAUGAGGGGCACUAAGCUGCGAGAAGCAGCCAGGGAAAUCAGUGUAUAGAAGCCCAGCCUGUGAAGGGCCUUGUCCAAACACUGGCUCACUUCCGCCUUCAUCUUUUAGGGCCUCCCCCACAGCUCGCUUCCUCAGAGACCCCACCACCCUCGCCCCAGUGCACCAGGUCCUCCCAUCAGGUGCUCCCAGCACCGUCUCUCCCCUAAGCUGCCACCUCCGUGGGGGCAGGGAUGGGCUUCUUGCCACUGCCAGCUUCCCAGGGCCAGCAGAGUCCAACAACAGUGUGAGCCGGCUGCUGAUGCAGGGCCAGGAGGGGAGGCCAGGAAAUGAGCAAGAUGGUUCCCAGGACGGGCCUCAGGGUGCUGUGGGAGGUCCCAGCUGCUCUCCACACCCUCGAGGUGGACACAGAUGCUGCCUCCAGGGCAGGCGCCACAUCCUGGACCCACGGUCAGGUAGCAGGGCUCCUGAACUCACAGGUCCCGCUCCUUUCUUGCCAGCUCACCAUGGUGCCUGAUGCCCCGCAGGGCUUCUGCCUCGCCUCUGGGGAGGGAGCUCCAUGGGGCUCUGCCAGCUGAAGCCUCCUGCCUGGAAAGGUGGCCUCACUGCAUGGGUGCUCAGGAAUGAGUGAAAGAAAGAAAGAGCGAAUGAAUGAAUGAGUGCUGGGAUAAUGCGCCCUGGAGCCAAAUCCAGAGAAUGAGAUGGUGUCUACACACAGAUGGAGUUGGAGACCUAAUAAUAGUAGCAAAAUAACUCAAAAUCUUCAAAAUGCCUUUUAACUCAAUUUCACAUGAUAGGGACAGAAAUUGCCAACAAACACUAGGUGUGUGCUGGCUGAAGUAAACUGCUGGUUCGGAUUAUCUGGUUGUUUUGAUCAGCAUGGACAGUAAAGUCAGGUGAUAAUUCAGAAUUUAUGUUGCCCAGGUCUGUGCCCGCCCCCGCAGCCCCUCUCCUGUGUGUCGGGGCUGCAGAGCGUUUUCUGCACUUCUCCUAGACCUGGACCACACGGCAGCCCUGGGCUCACGCUGUCCCCUCCUGGGGACUCUCCUCGGGAGCUGAUGGGGGCUGUUCUCUCACAUUCCCUGCACAGGCCCUACUGUUCCCUGGACAAGUGAAUGGAACAGUAUCGAGGCUGCCUUUUGCCCCUCAGAGGGCCCUGGGAGCCGACCACCAUUGUCUGCACCUGUGCUCGCAUGGAGGGUCUCCUGAGUGGGGAGCUCUUCAGCUCUUGAUCGGUGAGGGCAGUUGGCAUCAGUUCUGUACAUAUUUCAAAGCUUUAGUAUUCUAUCCAAAUGGACAGAACCCUAAGCAAACAGGAACAAGUUUAAUUUUUUAAAAACAAACACUCAAAUGCAGGAGUACUUUAGAACACGUCUUCUGAGGACAAGCCUCGCGUUCUCCACCGGCCUGUCAGCGUCACUGUUUGCUUCAUGAACUAAUGAUACAGAAGAACAAGAAAUGAUGAUACAACCCAGGGUAUGGCCAGACUUUGGAAGAAAGGCAUAGGCUCCUAAACACUGUCUCCUGCCAGUGCGUCGCAGCCUGAAGCUUUGUGCUCCACCAGUGAGGCAACAAAUCACCAGUUUGCAACCAGCCCACCUAGAGAUUUUGGGUUGUUCUGCGCCUGCCCACGGCACACAGGCUGGAAAACAAGUUAGUGUUUUCUCCUGAGAAGAUUUACCGAUCUGCAAAGAUCUGUGAAUGGCGGAUCCAUUAAAAGAAGUUAGAGGCAUUGAUGAGGGGCCCCACGCUGGCGCUCCGAGAGCUUCAGGUUUCCUGGCACUGGGACCUGGGUCUUGGCUGGGUUGGUGAGCCAGGGACUUGCAGCAGGCUGAGUGGGAGCAGCAGCACAAGAUCUCUGUGGAGCUGUGCAGGCCCCAACCUCGGAGCCACGAACAGGUGAAGAGCUUGCAUAUGUGGCCUAGCCUCUCCGUGGUGGGCCCCUCGCUCCCCUUGCAGCUGAGGGAGGUUCUGGAGGCCGCUGCUGGUGCCUCUGAGUUGCCCCUGGCUGCUCCCAGGUGAGCUGGAAGCUACUCAGCCCCUGCAUGCCCUUCCAGGUCCUGCCCCAACCUGCCACCCUGGGUGGCCUGGAGUGGCCUGGCUGUGGAGAGACGUCCCUUGACCACUGGGCACCCAGGAGGCCCCGAAUCAUCUCGUCCCAGGGCAGCUGCAUUUACAGCCAGGUCCAGGCCCACGUGGAGAGCCCGGACAGCAACGUACACUGCAGGUGAGGGGCUUGAGGGGCGAUCCCAGUCUGCUCGUCACAAUCUCCCUUCGCUUUCACGUCCACCUUCAAAAUAGAACUAACAAAGUGCAUCCCUGAGGGGCGCAAAGGCCCCAGGGGGCGGUUGGGGCUGGGAGAUCCUGGGGGAGCUGAAGAGGCAGCCAGGGAGAAAAACCGGCAUGUAGAUCGACUCCGCUGGACUCCGCAAGAGGCCCUCAUGAUCGCCUCUCAGAGAAAGGUCAGCUGGAUGGAGUGGGUUCUGUGAACGGGACACGCAAGGUGACAAAUGGAAGCGUCUGGGUAGGAUCUGGUCAACGGAGCCUCGGGGGACAUUCUUGUGGAGGGCCGAAUCUGGCGGUCAGAUGUGGGGCUGACAUCACUCUGCACAACACCCAACGUGUCAACUUGGAGGGUGUGUGAGUCAGGAAUCCUGGCUGGACUGGUUCCAACUGGCUUGGUUGUUGUGGGAAGACCGACUUCAGGUGCAGCUGGGUCCCUGGCCCCACCACCAUCGUCAGGGCUGGAGCCUGUCUCUGUUCGUGCCAGCCUCUCUGGGUGGGCAGGAGUCCACUCUCCCCUGGAGGCCUGAUGGGGGCUGGGAGCAGCAGAAGUUCUUCCCAGCAUGGCGCCCCAAGUCAGAGGCCUUUUCCCCCCAGCUUUGGCAGACCUACUUUGCCAACUCAUCCUGGGUUUGGCACUGAAAGUCCCAGGUCCUGAAAACCCCUCAGCCUCAGAAAACUGGCAUCGUUGGUCACUGAGUCCCAGCAAGAACCAGUGGCUGACUGAUGGGGCCUGGGCAUGGCCAGUGCUUGGGGAGACAUGGGGCUGUUUGAUGGCCCCAUGGAGAGGGAAGGGACCCCAUGGAAAGGGAGGGGAACCCGUGAAGAGGAAUAGAACCCCAUGGAGAGGGAUGGGACCCCAUGGAGAAGGAUGGGACCUCACAGAGAUGGAGGGACCCCACGGAGAGGGAUGGGACCCGAUGGAGAGGGAGGGGCCCCCCAGAGAUGGAGGGACCCGACAGAUAGGGAUGGGACCCGACGGAAAGGGAGGGGGCCCCACAGAGGGGGAGGGGACCUCAUGGAGAUGGAGGGGGCCCCAUGGAGAGGGAGGGGACGCUAUGGAGAGGGAGGGGACCCCCAGGGAGAGGGAAGGCACCCUAUGGAGAGGGAGGGGGCUGGACAGACAGGACUAAGCCUGCAUAGCCCCCCAGCAGGUGGCGACGAGGGCGCUCUAACACCCCAGGGUGUGGAGGUCCCCUCAUUCUCCUCGGUGACUGGAGGCUCUGGCCUGUUUCUGGUUGGCCCACCCUGGGAGAGUUUCCUGGCCCAGAAUGUCUCAUGGUGACUCUGGGUGGUAAUGUUUGUGGCCAUCAUCACCUCUGCAGGGCCAGCCCUGCCUGGAUGUGCCCCAAAUUAUAGACACCUCCUUUAUCAGCCACACCAUGGGGCAUAGAUGCAAGGACCACAGUCUGGGCUUCUGAGGCUGUGUCCAGGAUGAGGAGCCCCAGAGUCCAGACCCAGCGAUUCCUGCUGGGUCCCACCACCCUCACCCUGGUGAGGACACCCUGAAAUGUCACCAACUGCCAUUUCCCGUGGGAUUCCCUCCUCUGCGCUGUCUCCAUUUCCAUGAGGAGCGCAUUCCUUCCUAGCAAGAAUGUUGGCAAUAGAGGCAGUGGUUUCUCAGCCUCAGCUCUGGCCUUUCACUCUGCUGACCUUCUCUCUGCCCUGUCACUGCUGGUCCUGGCCCUGGCCCCAUGAAGGAGUACACGUGACCUCCCCAGGCUCUGUCCUCAGGGUCUGGGCCAGGCGCGGCCGCCCAGAGAGGGCCAGUGGAGAGACAGACACACUUCACAUGCUCAGGUCAGGAGGACCCCGCGGAGCUGCGGGCUGGCACCUGGCUGCCCCGCGUCCCGGCAUGGGGCCUGAGAGUGACUGGCACUCUCAGGGCCUGCUCCCUGACUGUGAAGGAGGGUAACGGUGAGGUCACUGGAUUAUGCAUCAGCUUCUUGUCAGCCGCUAAAAUGGACAAACGUUGCAAAAAGUGGCAGAAUGCCAGCACGGUGGGGUCGCCGGCAUCCCUUCCUUCUGACAUAAGGGCCCCCUUGUGAGGACCCCGUCCGGCUCUCAGGGCCCUCCUCCCUGGGGAUGGCUGUUUUCACCCUGUGGACACUGUGAGCCCCGGGCAUUGUCUCACUGGCCCUGCCUGGUCCCAGAUGUGCGAGGGGAUGCGGAGCUGGCUCCAAGGCCCCACCUCCCCACUCACUGACCAGGUCUGCCCAGCCCACUGGCCCCUGCGCUCUGCUUGUUUUGGGUUGUGUUAGGUCAUUCGUGUCGGCCCCUCAAACCGCUUCUCAGGGAGAUGAGCCACACACAGAGGCCUCUCACCAGCUAAGAACAGCGUCCCUUUAGUCCUUUUGGGGACGGCGUGGGGCUGGGCUGGGUGGGCGCGGCUCAGGUCUGAAAUGCCAAGAAGUGUAACUGAGGCCCCAGGAGCGUGGGCUGUCUCAGGAGAGACAGCUGUUUUUGCUUUCUGAGGUUUAGUACUUCCUGCUUGGACAUUUUUGGAAGUUCAGGAGACACAUGGGGUUUAACUGAGGGAAACCUUCCCUUCCACGGGCGGGGUGCCCGGCGGGGAUGAGGCAGUUUCCAGGUGGCUCUCCAGACUUGGGAAGGGCAUUGUGACUUUGCUGGAAGCUCAGCCAUCCUCCCUAACUUCACCUCCAUCAGAAGGAAAAGAUCCUCACGGUUCACCUAAAAUGGCAAUUUCUCAGGAAAUGGUCGAAGCUGCUUACGAUCCACGGAAAUCACACGUGCAAGCAGGAGAAUGGAAAAAACAAGGGAAGACGAGAGCGGAUGAGAGUGUGUUCGCAAGCGCAGCCCCCAACAGCUGCCAGGCCCCACUGCACCGUCAGCCCCACAACGUCGCCCAGGGCACAGGGUCACGGCGCCCACACAGGGCUGGGAACCAGGCCACGAGUGGCCCUGCCCACCGCACCCACUGUGUGUGUGGUAAUGACGGGGUCUCGCCCAGGCCCCUGUGAGAGCCGGAGAAGACCCUUCCUCAGAAGGUGCUAGAAACAGUGUGUGGCAGCCCCACACACUGGCCCCGCCCCAGGACACCGACCACGAGCUGGGGCCGGACGAGGGUCCAUCCUUCCUGCCACCUCCAGACCCUUGCUCACCUGUGCACGCCACUUGGUCCUGCGGCUUCUCGAAUCUGUUGCAAGUCGGGGACACAGGUGUCAGGGCUGGAGUCGGCCUCCUGAAUCGGGCUCCACAAGGGGUCUCGCCGGGUGCAUGCUCUUAGGGAGACAGUGCAUAGAAUAAGGGAGACAGAACGUGGCCCAUGUGACCCAAGCCGUGGGUCAUGAGGAGCAGGGCCUCAACAGCCAAGGGGCACUUCUCAGGGCUCCCCCCGCCCCGAGGGCCUCUCAGAACUCUGAUCUCCUCGGGGCCUUUUGAGUAAACUUCUGCUGGAGUUAAAACCACUCUUUGCUUCAAAG